UAUGACCACUGAACUGUCGUGAACGUUCAGGAUCUCAUCUGAUCUCAGAAGGUAAGCAGGAUCAGGCCUGGUUGCUAUUUAGAUGGGAGGAAAAGUGAGGCGAACGUGUCCUGUAAGCCAGGGAGUGCAAUGA
rnacentral:rRNA from 1 species